rnacentral:rRNA from 1 species
UUUGCCCAUAUUCCUACGGGAAGCAGCAGUGAGGAAUUUUUCACAAUGGACGAAAGUCUGAUGGAGCAAUACCAUGUGAACGAUGAAGGUCUUCUGAUUGUAAAGUUCUUUUAUUUAGGAAAAAAAGCUUGAGAGGAAAUGAUUAAGCCUUGAUUGUACUAAAUGAAUAAGUGACAGCUAACUAUGUGCCAGCAGCUGCGGUAAAACAUAGGUCACGAGCAUUAUCCGGAUUUAUUGGGCGUAAAGGAAGCGUAGGCGGACAAAUUGAUCUAUUGUUAAAGGCACUUGCUCAACGAGUUGUUUGUGAUAGAUAUCGUUUGUCUAGAAUUAGUUAGGAGAUACUGGAAUUCAAUGUGUAGCGGUGGAAUGCGUAGAUAUAUUGAGGAACACCAGAGGCUAAGGCGAGUAUCUAGGACAUAAUUGACGCUGAGGCUUGAAAGCGUGGGGAGCAAAUGGGAUUAGAUACCCCAGUAGUCCACGCCGUAAACGAUGGGUAUUAGGUAUUUGGUUUAGGACUGAGUGCUGUAGCUAACGCGUUAAAUACCCCGCCUGGGUAGUAUAUAUGCAAAUAGAUUCAAA